ACUGCUCUGGGCUGUGGUCUUUGCUGCUGUUCUGGGCUGCUCUGCCUAUGGAGUAGCCCUGCUCUGUCUACGGAGCAGCCCCUCUGCUGCACACUGCUGCUCUAAUAAACUUGCUUUCUUUCACUGUUGGCUCACUCUUGAAUUCUUUCCUGAGUGAAGCCAAGAACCCUCCCAGGCUGAGCCCUGAUUUUGGGAUUCACCUGCAUCAGCCUGUUCCAGAUGGAGAAAAGUACUCAAUUUGUAUCAUAAUGCAAAAGCAAGAAAUGAACCUUUGCUGUAUUAAGUCACUGCAACGCUGGCUUUGUCCCUGCAGUAUAGCCUAUUUUAUUCUGACUAAAGUACUGUAGUAGGUGCUCAAUAAAUACUUGUUGAAUAAAUGUAAGCUGUAAUGAUCAUUCUUGUGCCCUGGAUGAGCUACCAUGUUGCUGGGUACAUAUUUAAUACUUUGGUAGAUAGCACAAACUGUCCUCCAGAAAGUUUGCAUCAUUUUUUUUGUUUGUUUUACGUUCAUCACAGUUUUUGUAGAGAAGACUCCUGGCUCAGUGUCAGCUCACAUGGUUUAGAUGGGGCUGAGCCUACUUCUGGAUUUAAAUACAGGCAUCCGACCCAGGC
rnacentral:lncRNA from 1 species